UACGUAGGGUGCGAGCGUUAAUCGGAAUUACUGGGCGUAAAGCGUGCGCAGGCGGUUCGCUAAGACCGAUGUGAAAUCCCCCGGGCUUAACCUGGGAACUGCAUUGGUGACUGGCGGGCUAGAGUAUGGCAGAGGGGGGUAGAAUUCCACGUGUAGCAGUGAAAUGCGUAGAGAUGUGGAGGAAUACCGAUGGCGAAGGCAGCCCCCUGGGCCCAAUACUGACGCUCAUGCACGAAAGCGUGGGGAGCAAACAGG
rnacentral:rRNA from 1 species